GCUGCUAUGGCGCAGUUGGGAGCGCGUAAGACUGAAGAUCUUAAGGUCACUGGUUCGAUCCCGGUUGGCGGCA